rnacentral:rRNA from 1 species
CUCAGUAAGUGAACCUGCGGAGGGAUUCAUUACACAAAUAAUGAAGGCGGGCUGGAACCUCUCGGGGUUACAGCCUUGCUGAAUUAUUCACCCUUGUCUUUUGCGUACUUCUUGUUUCCUUGGUGGGUUCGCCCACCACUAGGACAAACAUAAACCUUUUGUAAUUGCAAUCAGCGUCAGUAACAAAUUAAUAAUUACAACUUUCAACAACGGAUCUCUUGGUUCUGGCAUCGAUGAAGAACGCAGCGAAAUGCGAUAAGUAGUGUGAAUUGCAGAAUUCAGUGAAUCAUCGAAUCUUUGAACGCACAUUGCGCCCUUUGGUAUUCCAAAGGGCAUGCCUGUUCGAGCGUCAUUUGUACCCUCAAGCUUUGCUUGGUGUUGGGCGUCUUGUCUCUAGCUUUGCUGGAGACUCGCCUUAAAGUAAUUGGCAGCCGGCCUACUGGUUUCGGAGCGCAGCACAAGUCGCACUCUCUAUCAGCAAAGGUCUAGCAUCCAUUAAGCCUUUUUUUCAACUUUUGACCUCGGAUCAGGUAGGGAUACCCGCUGAACUUAAGCAUAUCAGUAAGCGGAGGA